rnacentral:rRNA from 1 species
UACGAAGGGGGCUAGCGUCGCUCGGAAUUACUGGGCGUAAAGGGCGCGUAGGCGGAUAGUUUAGUCAGAGGUAAAAGCCCAGGGCUCAACCUUGGAACUGCCUUUGAUACUGGCUAUCUUGAGUUCGGGAGAGGUGAGUGGAAUGCCGAGUGUAGAGGUGAAAUUCGUAGAUAUUCGGCGGAACACCAGUGGCGAAGGCGACUCACUGGCCCGAUACUGACGCUGAGGCGCGAAAGCGUGGGGAGCAAACAGG